GGGAAACCGGAGCUAAUACCGGAUAAUAUAUUGAACCGCAUGGUUCAAUAGUGAAAGACGGUUUUGCUGUCACUUAUAGAUGGAUUCGCGCCGCAUUAGCUAGUUGGUAAGGUAACGGCUUACCAAGGCAACGAUGCGUAGCCGACCUGAGAGGGUGAUCGGCCACACUGGAACUGAGACACGGUCCAG
rnacentral:rRNA from 1 species